rnacentral:rRNA from 1 species
AACGAACGCUGGCGGCAUGCCUAACACAUGCAAGUCGAACGAGACCUUCGGGUCUAGUGGCGCACGGGUGCGUAACGCGUGGGAACCUGCCCUUAGGUUCGGAAUAACUCCCCGAAAGGGGUGCUAAUACCGGAUAAUGUCUUCGGGCCAAAGAUUUAUCGCCUUUGGAUGGGCCCGCGUUGGAUUAGCUAGUUGGUAGGGUAAAAGCCUACCAAGGCGACGAUCCAUAGCUGGUCUGAGAGGAUGAUCAGCCACACUGGGACUGAGACACGGCCCAGUCUCCUACGGGAGGCAGCAGUGGGGAAUAUUGGACAAUGGGCGAAAGCCUGAUCCAGCAAUGCCGCGUGAGUGAUGAAGGCCUUAGGGUUGUAAAGCUCUUUUACCCGGGAUGAUAAUGACAGUACCGGGAGAAUAAGCUCCGGCUAACUCCGUG